rnacentral:rRNA from 1 species
GUGCUACCGGCCGCUGUAAUUCGUUGGUGGCCAUCGUUAUUCCUGAUUAUUGGGCGUAAAGCGCGCGUAGGCGGUUUUUUAAGUCUGAUGUGAAAGCCCACGGCUCAACCGUGGAGGGUCAUUGGAAACUGGAAAACUUGAGUGCAGAAGGGGAAAGUGGAAUUCCAUGUGUAGCGGUGAAAUGCGCAGAGAUAUGGAGGAACACCAGUGGCGAAGGCGACUUUCUGGUCUGUAACUGACGCUGAUGUGCGAAAGCGUGGGGAUCAAACAGGAUUAGAUACCCUGGUAGUCC